rnacentral:rRNA from 1 species
CCUACGGGUGGCAGCAGUGAGGAAUAUUGGUCAAUGGACGAGAGUCUGAACCAGCCAAGUAUCGUGAAGGAUGACUGCCCUAUGGGUUGUAAACUUCUUUUAUAAAGGAAUAAAACGAGGCACGUGUGCCUUUUUGCAUGUACUUUAUGAAUAAGGAUCGGCUAACUCCGUGCCAGCAGCCGCGGUAAUACGGAGGAUCCGAGCGUUAUCCGGAUUUAUUGGGUUUAAAGGGAGCGUAGAUGGGUUGUUAAGUCAGUUGUGAAAGUUUGCGGCUCAACCGUAAAAUUGCAAUUGAUACUGGCAGUCGUGAGUACAGUUGAGGUAGGCGGAAUUCGUGGUGUAGCGGUGAAAUGCUUAGAUAUCACGAAGAACCCCGAUUGCGAAGGCAGCUUACUAAACUGUGACUGACAUUGAUGCUCGAAAGUGUGGGUAUCAAACAGGAUUAGAUACCCCAGUAGUC